rnacentral:lncRNA from 1 species
CUUAAAUAAAAAAGUGAUCUUUGAAAAAAGAAAACAUUUUCUAAUACCAGAAUCACAAAGAAAGGUUUGUGCUGUGAUUUACAAGGUACAGGAGAAAAAAUCAGAAAUCAGAAAGGGUCCAGGAGAAUUGCUGAUUUGACUAGAACUUCUACACACUUCUCUCCAGCUGGCAAAAUGGGUUUGAGAGACAGGCACUAGCAAAUACUCUGUAAGUGUUUCAACUCCCCAAUACUGAUAGAGAGGAAUGAGAAGCCCGUGGCUUAGCUGAAGGAUGCUCUGGGGAAUUCAUUAAUGGAGAAUAUUCCCUAAAUUAAAAGUUGUUUAGUCUUUGCCCUCAUUUCAUUUGCCUCUUCAGUAGGCAGUAUGACCUCUCUUUAGAAGGAGAAAAAAAUGGGACUGCAAAAGGAACUGGGCUUAUGCAUAUUCCGUGCUACAAAGAAGCACAAUGUUCAAGCAUGCUAUCUAAGUAGUUUCAGAGAAAGGGAUAGUGAAGAUUUAUGUCUAAAUUAUCAUAUAAAUCAUAAUUACUAAACCAGAUUAUUGAUCCAAAAAUAAAAUAAAGGACAACCUGCAUUUUACAUUUUAUGACUAGUGGUUUGUUAUGUGUAUUUCAAGUAAAUAUUAGGUUUAAAUUAUGUAAAUGGUGACUUUAUAAACAUAGUCUUUAUAAACAAAAGGAAAGCAAUCUAUGAAAUCAGAUUAUUGAGAUGGAACCAUUUUACUUUAAAUAUAAAAUUAAAUAUCUAUUUCAAUCUAUGUAUUUAAGGCAUCAACAUUUAAAAAAAUAAAAUUUGUAUUGCAGCAUAAUUUACCGUGAUUCAAAACUGAUGACACAAAAAGAAAACAAUGCCACUAUUUCCUCUUAUUCUGUAUUGUGCUUGUGGAAUAUUUUUAUUUUGUGUCCUAUGUUGCAUUUUUCGUGUCCAGAAACUAAAAAUGCAAUGUGAUAUUGGAAGUGAAUAUCCAAAUUCGGCCCACUACUGUGCAUUUUUCUGCUCACACUCCUGUUUCUCAUAAGAUAAGACCCUGUACUACAGUGACACUCUGUGUGUAUUAUAGCCAUGAUAAGGCUCUCUAAAGAACUGAAGAACAGUGAUGCAGAGGGGGCACCAAUUGGAAGAGAGAAUUGAGUAUGUGGAGUCUUCUUUUGAAUCCAUCAGAGUUAUCUCAUCUGCAAAAAUCUUAUUUUCAUUUUCAGGGUCUGGUUACUGGCAUCCAUGAGAGGAUUAUGCCAUGAGAUCAAGAUGGAAGAAUCUUGAAACAAAAACUGAGGAUGAUAGACAUGGUAAGCGUUUUCCCUCUGCUCCAUCAGACAAGACUGUGCUGAACAAGUGAUCAACACUAACAAAUCCGUGGCAGCUUAAUUUGCUGUUCAGAAGCUUCAAGGAGAUCAGGACAACAAAUUAUCUGUGCGAUGUCAGGUCUCCAGGGCCUGGGAAGGUCCUCUCUAUAGAGCAGAGUGGCAAAGGUCAGACCGUGGGUGAAGUUGGUCCUUCUCGUGUUUCUGUAUCACUUGAAAACUAAGAAGGAUUCUUACAUUUUUAAAUGGCUGAUAUGGGAAAAUGGCAUGAAAUCCAAAUUUCAGUGUCGAUAAAUGAAAUUUUAUUGAAACUCAGCCAUGUUUGCUUGCGUCUUUUCUGAUUGUUUGCUUGUUACCACAGCAGAGCUGAGUGGUUUUGACAGAGACAGUGUGGCUUACAAAAGUGAAAAUAUUUACUAUAUGGUACUUAACAGAAAAAGUUUGUAGACCCUUAGUAUAGAGUAUAAUUUACAUAACCCUUUGCUAAAGUGGACACUUCAGUUAUUUGCAAUUUUUUACAUUAAAUAUAAACUAGGAAUGAGUAUAUCUGUACAUAGCUUGGCUUUAGUUUUGCAGCUUUACCUGUUAAGAAAGCCACAUUCACCCAUGUGUGUGACUGAAUCUGAGACUCAAGAAUGUGUCCACCAGGUUGCAGUGGGGAUUUAGCCUCACAGUCCAAACUAGACACUGAAUGCUUUUCAUACUGCAUAUUUACCUGUCUACCCUUAUUAUGCAAUCAAGAGUACAAUUAAAUUGCUGAACUUCAAUAACAAAAGAGAUACUUUUGAAAGAAGGGUCUGUUUUACAAUGUAAAUCUCAAUCCCUAUUUCAUUAACUACAAAGAUUAUAAUUAUAUAUUUAUGUAACAUUAUUA